GCGGGGGUAGCUCAGUGUCCAGAGCGCCCGGGUCCCGCCGCCAUGACGGGUCCACCCGGGAGGUCGGUGGUUCGAUUCCUCCUCCCCGCUCCA
rnacentral:tRNA from 1 species